GGCGCACGGGUGAGUAACACGUGGGUAAUCUGCCCUUGAGUUUGGGAUAACCCCGCGAAAGCGGGGCUAAUACCGAAUAAGACCACGGGGACCAAAGUCCCUGAGGUAAAAGGUGGCCUCUAUUUAUAAGCUACCACUUGAGGAUGAGCCCGCGGCCCAUUAGCUAGUUGGCAGGGUAACGGCCUACCAAGGCGAUGAUGGGUAGCUGGUCUGAGAGGACGAUCAGCCACACUGGAACUGAGACACGAUCCAGACUCCUACGGGAGGCAGCAGUGGGGAAUAUUGCUCAAUGGGCGAAAGCCUGAAGCAGCAACGCCGCGUGGGGGAUGAAGGUUCUCGGAUUGUAAACCCCUUUCGACCGGAACGAAUCCCCUCCUGGUGAACAAUCAGGAGGAUCGACGGUACCGGGAGAAGAAGCCACGGCUAACUCUGUGCCAGCAGCCGCGGUAAGACAGAGGUGGCGAGCGUUGUUCGGAUUUAUUGGGCGUAAAGCGUACGCAGGCGGUUUGGUAAGUCAGAGGUGAAAGACCACAGCUUAACUGUGGCACUGCCUUUGAUACUGCCUUUCUAGAGUGCAUGA
rnacentral:rRNA from 1 species